GGUUCUUUGAUCGAGAGGCCGAUGAUGCCAGCCUGUUAAGCUGUUGAGAGAAAUCUCCACCGCUGGUUCGAAUCCAGCAGGAACCGCCA
rnacentral:tRNA from 2 species